GCACCGCCGACGAGUCCCAAAUAGGACGAACAAGUUGUCCAGUGC
rnacentral:hammerhead_ribozyme from 1 species